rnacentral:misc_RNA from 1 species
UGGACCUGGUUGCAUGGGCUGAUA